rnacentral:tRNA from 1 species
AAAAAUUUAGUUAAUAAAUAACAUUAGCUUGUCAAGUUAAAAUAAUUCUCMAAAAAAUAAUUUUUA